UGCCAUAUGUACAAAAGGAUGCACAAGCUCGACCCAACUUAAGUCACUCCUCGCGCGGAUUAUACGUACAAAAGAUGCACAAACUCCAACCCAACUGAAGUCACACCUCCGCGGAUUAUAUGUACAAAAGCUAUGCACAAGCUCCGACCCAACUGAAGUCACACUACAACGGAUUCUAACACCUUGAACACAUCCGACCGCGUAACAAUGCCUAUAACUUGCCCUUGCUCAUUCAGGACAGGAAUUCGAUGGAUCUUCUCUUUAAGCAUCAAAGCUGCAGCAUCUAGAACUGUCUUGUUGGGAGGCAGCGUGAUCGCAGGAGAGGACAUGACUUCCUCAACCCUUGAUUGUAACCCAUUAGCAGCCCUAGCCGUAUCCUUCCUCGAGAUCACACCAAUACACCUCAGCUCCCCAUCAACCACCGGAAGCCCCGACACCAUCUCGAAAUGAUGAUCAAUCUCCUCCAACCUCUGAUUCCUCGUCACAGCCCUCACCGGUGCCGACAUCACCUCCCCCAGCAGAGCCGUCCUCUUCACCUUAUCAUCGGUCAAGAUCUGUGUCUCGAUGUAAACGCGGAGAUCAUCGUAGCUGAGGUAGGAGAAGUUGUCCGGCCACUCGCCAGAGAUGAUGCCCUCGGCGUUGUCGUCGAUGUCGGGACGCGGGAUUGCGGCGAGGGGCCGGAUGGCGCGGCGGAGGUGGUGACGGAGGAGGCGGAGGUCGGCAGUGGGGGCGAGGGCGGAGGGCCGGGAUCGGAGGUGGAGGAUGGGGGUGGUUUGGAGGGAACUGGUUGCCAUUUUGG
rnacentral:misc_RNA from 1 species